rnacentral:rRNA from 1 species
UACGUAGGGGGCAAGCGUUGUCCGGAAUCAUUGGGCGUAAAGAGCGUGUAGGCGGCUCGAUAAGUCUGCUGUGAAAGUCCAGGGCUCAACCCUGGAAGGCCGGUGGAAACUGUCGGGCUAGAGUCCGGAAGAGGCGAGUGGAAUUCCCGGUGUAGCGGUGAAAUGCGCAGAUAUCGGGAGGAACACCAAUGGCGAGGGCAGGUCUCUGGGCCACUACUGACGCUGAGAAGCGAAAGCAUGGGGAGCGAACAGG